GACAGAGGGUGCAAACGUUGUUCGGAAUUACUGGGCGUAAAGCGCGUGUAGGCGGCGCGGUAAGUCGGGUGUGAAAGCCCUGGGCUCAACCCAGGAAGUGCAUUCGAUACUACCGUACUAGAGUCCCGGAGAGGUUGGUGGAACUCUCGGUGUAGAGGUGAAAUUCGUAGAUAUCGAGAAGAACACCGGUGGCGAAGGCGGCCAACUGGACGGUGACUGACGCUGAGACGCGAAAGCGUGGGGAGCAAACAGG
rnacentral:rRNA from 1 species